GGCGGCGUGCUUAACACAUGCAAGUCGAACGGAAAGGCCCUGCUUUUGUGGGGUGCUCGAGUGGCGAACGGGUGAGUAACACGUGAGUAACCUGCCCUUGACUUUGGGAUAACUUCAGGAAACUGGGGCUAAUACCGGAUAGGAGCUCCUGCUGCAUGGUGGGGGUUGGAAAGUUUCGGCGGUUGGGGAUGGACUCGCGGCUUAUCAGCUUGUUGGUGGGGUAGUGGCUUACCAAGGCUUUGACGGGUAGCCGGCCUGAGAGGGUGACCGGCCACAUUGGGACUGAGAUACGGCCCAGACUCCUACGGGAGGCAGCAGUGGGGAAUAUUGCACAAUGGGCGGAAGCCUGAUGCAGCAACGCCGCGUGCGGGAUGACGGCCUUCGGGUUGUAAACCGCUUUCGCCUGUGACGAAGCGUGAGUGACGGUAAUGGGUAAAGAAGCACCGGCUAACUACGUGCCAGCAGCCGCGGUGAUACGUAGGGUGCGAGCGUUGUCCGGAUUUAUUGGGCGUAAAGGGCUCGUAGGUGGUUGAUCGCGUCGGAAGUGUAAUCUUGGGGCUUAACCCUGAGCGUGCUUUCGAUACGGGUUGACUUGGGGAAGGUAGGGGAGAAUGGAAUUCCUGGUGGAGCGGUGGAAUGCGCAGAUAUCAGGAGGAACACCAGUGGCGAAGGCGGUUCUCUGGGCCUUUCCUGACGCUGAGGAGCGAAAGCGUGGGGAGCGAACAGGCUUAGAUACCCUGGUAGUCCACGCUGUAAACGGUGGGUACUAGGUGUGGGGUCCAUUCCACGGGUUCCGUGCCGUAGCUAACGCUUUAAGUACCCCGCCUGGGGAGUACGGCCGCAAGGCUAAAACUCAAAGGAAUUGACGGGGCCCCGCACAAGCGGCGGAGCAUGCGGAUUAAUUCGAUGCAACGCGUAGAACCUUACCUGGGUUUGACAUGGAUCGGGAGUGCUCAGAGAUGGGUGUGCCUCUUUUGGGGUCGGUUCACAGGUGGUGCAUGGCUGUCGUCAGCUCGUGUCGUGAGACGUUGGGUUAAGUCCCGCAACGAGCGCAACCCUUGUUCACUGUUGCCAGCACGUUAUGGUGGGGACUCAGUGGAGACCGCCGGGGUCAACUCGGAGGAAGGUGGGGAUGACGUCAAGUCAUCAUGCCCCUUAUGUCCAGGGCUUCACGCAUGCUACAAUGGCUGGUACAGAGAGUGGCGAGCCUGUGAGGGUGAGCGAAUCUCGGAAAGCCGGUCUCAGUUCGGAUUGGGGUCUGCAACUCGACCUCAUGAAGUCGGAGUCGCUAGUAAUAGCAGAUCAGCAACGCUGCGGUGAAUACGUUCCCGGGGCUUGUACACACCGCCCGUCAAGUCAUGAAAGUUGGUAACACCCGAAGCCGGUGGCCUAACCGUUGUGGGGGAGCCGUCGAAGGUGGGACUGGUGAUUAGGACUAAGUAGUA
rnacentral:rRNA from 1 species